UGCUGGGGUUGUCAGGUGAGCGGUGGCGGGGCGGCUCCGUGCCCGGCGCAAUCCGACUCGCAUCGGCCCUUUAGUCCAGCCAUCCGACCUCGCUAAUCCCGCUCUGCCCUUUCUCUUGCAGGUCCCUGUCGAUAUGCGAGCCAAGUGGCGGAAGAAGCGUAUGCGCAGACUGAAGCGCAAAAGACGAAAGAUGAGGCAGAGGUCCAGGUGAACUACUGCUGAUGGUGCAGUACUGAUCAGGCUUUGUUGAAUCUUGCAUGGCAAAUGGACUCUGGACAUUUCUGCUUAUAAUUGUUCCACUAAGAUCAACAAUUUAUAUAGACGUCUUGGAUGCUGGCUGUGAAAGAUCCUGAACAUUGGUCUGUUGUAGUACUGUGCCAUAAUGUAUUAUAGUUACAAAAUAAAAUGUAAACUCGU